CCUGCGGGGAGGGAGAGAGAAGGGAGGUGGACAGGAUCUCAGCUACUCCCAGGGCAGGAUGCUCACUGGGAAUGAGUCAGGGCCAUAAGGACUCUCAUGAUGACUCUGAGUGUUGAGUUACAGAUACUGAAACUGAGGGGUGGUAGGAAAGGAACCAUCCGAGGCCAACAUUUUCCCAAGUGGACCUCACAACUCCCGGUGCCUCUGUCUUUCUUUCUGUGUGUCUAUCUCUCUCCUUCAUCCACCCCUUUCCUCUGCAGUAUCAUGGGGAGAGGAGACCAGAACACUGGAGAUCGGGGGCAAUGACAGAAACGAGCUGAGGCAAGAUGCAAAGAUAUCCUCAGUUAAGAACCAGUGAGGAAGGUCCAGCCACUACAGCAAUCCUGUGGCCCAGCACCAGCGGACAUGACAGCUCUUACGUGCUGGGCACUAUGCUGGCACUGAAAUAUUUACACAGCAGCAGCAGCAGCUUGUUCACCUCUCACAAUACCCGUGUUGUGGAGAGGUUAAGUAAUGUGGCCAAGGAGUAACCACAGGAGUCCUUGCCAUAGGCCCCACUGUCUCAAGGAGGUUGGAGAGUUGGAGACAGUCCCCAGGGCACCAGAGGGAUGUCACUGCAGCCUGCCUUUGCUCCAAGGUGGCAAGUCUAUUGUUAGUUCAGGAUGUGGAGACUAUGUAGCCAGCUGUGGAGGCCAUGAUGGCUUGGACAGAGGACACCAGCCUAGGAAGACAGAGGAAGGAGUGAGAAUAAGCCAAGCUGUGCUUAGCUUCCAUCCUUCCAUCCCGCCUCUCCCAGCCUUCUUCAUUCCUAGUUUGUGGCAGUGGAAUCUUCUUCCUCUCAGGACACCAAGGAGGCCAUCCUGAGGUAAGCCAGUGUUGGGAAUGGCUAACUGAGAUCUCUCCCAGGGGAGGGAGGGAGGGGACCCGUGAGGACUAAGGGAGUACCCCGUUGUCCCUACACCCUUUGGCCACCCAGUCACCAUAUCAUACUUACAGUCACUGGUCCCAUGGUGACCCCAAGCUCACCCACCCACCCACCCACUCCACCACUUUCCCACUAUUUCCCUGACUGUUACCAUGGUUCCUGUUCCUGAUGGCCCUAGUCUAGGGAUGCACAAGUUUCACUGCCUACUUUUCUGUUCCUUCACCCCAAACACAAGCCCCGAAAAACACAGUCUUGCCCCUCAGCUUGCUCCCGGGUGUCUUGUGGGACUGUUUAGUCACAUGCUGCCCUGCUUUAGAGGGAGGAUAGGAGGGUGAGGAGGGAAGCAAGAGGACCGAGCUGAAUAGUAGAUCAGAUGGCUGGGUUUCAAUGAGGUCCAAGGAGGAAGGAAGCUUGGAUGUAAGCCUGCCCACCACCACACAGCCCAGGGGUGUGCUGGGGUCCCUUUCCCACGAAGCCUGUUGGAGAGAGGGGCUGAACUCAGGGAGGGCAUGCCAUUUACC